UUUAUCCUUCAUUUCAAAUGGAAAAUUUGUGUAAAAUCAAACUCUCAUUUUGCAGUGGAUAUAAUAUGGCACCUGAAUAUGCAAUGCGGGGGUAUUUAACCAAUAAAGCAUAUGUUUACAGUUUUGGAAUUGUUGCCUUGGAAAUUGCCAGUGGAAGAAGCAACAUUACUUAUAGGCCAAAAGAGGAAUGCAUCUAUCGUCUUGAUUAGCAUGAUUUGUUAUUUGUGUUGGGAAACAUCUUCAAGGAUGAAUGGCUUCAUCGUCUAAACUACAAGCUGUAAAACCUGUUGAGAACCCAGAGCACUCAUUAAAAGGGAGUGGGAAUUUGAUGGAUCUAGUCUACCCCAGAUGGCUUAGACUUCAACAAGGAAGAGAUCAUGGCGAUGAUGAUCAACAUAGCUCUCUUGUGCACAAACGUCUCUCCAACAUUCACGCUAGCUAUGUCAUCAGUUGUGAACGUGCUUGAUGGCAGAACUGCUAUUCAGGACAUUGUUUCUGAGUGCUCCUUGUGACGAUUUAAAGAUCAAGAAGAUGAAGAAGCAUUGUCGCUACAUCUAAGAAAAGAGCACGGGUUUAGCAGUAGUGUGACAUCUUAUUCGUACUAACCUUAGUGUGCUAAAGGAUGUAAUAUUGAUAUUAAAUUAUUAAAUUAUUAAUAUUCUUUGUGUGAA